CAAAAACAACCACCGCUGUCGACCCUAACCGGUUGUCUCUUUCUGGCGCACGCAAACUGCCUUUACAUUGGAUUUUUUAACCCUCAUUUCCGUUGCACGUUCGAAAUUCAAGAUGGCCCGUGUGUUUGACUACCGCUGUCUCUGUCUGCCUGGUGCUCCAGCUCUUUCGCACCGCUUUGCGAUGGCUGGCAGGCACGCCACGCUGGCCACGCCCCUUUGAGCCAGCCCGCUUUCGAUUUGUACGUACUUUAAUUGCAAUUGCCGUUGGCUAAUUAAGUAAUUGCAGAAAUGCGUGUGUGUUAUGCAAUUAGUGGCUGUAAAAUGAUGUUACCACGGUCGUAAUAGUCGCGGCAUAUCUCUAUCUGAAGAAUAAUCAAUGUUUUAUCCUCCGGGUUUUAUUCUCCAUACCCAUAAA